CCUUGCGCUAAACGAGCAGCCGAUGGAAGAUUAGCUAGUUGGUGGGGUAAAGGCUCACCAAGGCGACGAUCUUUAGCGGGUCUGAGAGGACGAUCCGCCACACUGGAACUGAGACACGGUCCAGACUCCUACGGGAGGCAGCAGUGGGGAAUUUUGGACAAUGGGGGCAACCCUGAUCCAGCAAUGCCGCGUGAGUGAAGAAGGCCUUCGGGUUGUAAAGCUCUUUUGUUAGGGAAGAAAAGGUUGGUAAUAAUACUGCCAGCUGAUGACGGUACCUAAAGAAUAAGCACCGGCUAACUACGUGCCAGCAGCCGCGGUAAUACGUAGGGUGCAAGCGUUAAUCGGAAUUACUGGGCGUAAAGCGUGCGCAGGCGGUCUCGUAAGUCAGAUGUGAAAUCCCCGAGCUCAACUUGGGAACUGCAUCCGAAACUGCGACACUAGAGUGUGUCAGAUGGAGGUAGAAUUCCACGUGUAGCACUGAAAUGCGUAGAUAUGUGGAGGAAUACCAGUGGCGAAGGCGGCCUCCUGGGAUAACACUGACCCUCAUGUACGAAAAGCGUGGGGAGCAAACAGGAUUAGAUACCCCUGGUAGUCCACGCACCUAAACGAUGUCAACUGGUUGUUGG
rnacentral:rRNA from 1 species